GCGGGUGUAGUUCAAUGGUAGAACUCCAGCUUCCCAAGCUGGUAGCGCGGGUUCGAUUCCCGUCACCCGCUCUA
rnacentral:tRNA from 1 species